rnacentral:rRNA from 1 species
GACGAACGCUGGCGGCGCGCUUAACACAUGCAAGUCGAGCGAAGCGGCGGACGGGUGAGUAACACGUUCGUAACCUGCCUUAGACAUUGGGAUAGCCUCGGGAAACCGGGAUUAAUACCAAAUGGUCUAAGAUGGACUCGCGUCCCAUUAGCUAGUUGGUGGGUAACGGCCCACCAAGGCGACGAGAGGGAGCCGGCCAGGGAGGGUGAGCGGACACAUUGGAACUAGGAAUCGGUCCAAACUCUACGGGAGGCAGCAGUGGGGAAUAUUGCACAAUGGAGGGAACUCUGAUGCAGCGAGGCCGCGUGAACGAAGAAGGCUUUCGAGUCGUAAAGUUCUUUUAUAUGGGAAGCGGUACCAUAAGAAAAAGCCCCGGCUAACUACGUGCCAGCAGCCGCGGUAAUUC